GUAUUGUGUAUACGCGAUGCUCCCGCCCACAGUCUCUUCCGAUGGCUCAUUCGAUAUUUGAUCCUACCACGCUCCAGAUUCAGUCAGUUGUAGUACAUCCAGAGCCUUUGGUACAUCGCUCUUCUCGAGUGUCUGUACCCCCGGAUAGCUAUGUAGGAAGAAAUUGCUUCUCUAGAGGCUAAUCACACAUGGGACAUUGAGCCUUGUCCUCCCGCCAUUCUUUUGGGUUGUAAAUGGGUUUACUCAGUCAAGGUCUGAUCUGAUGGAAGUUUGGAUCGUUACAAAGCUCACCUUGUUGCACUUGGGAAUAAUUAGGAAUAUGGUGUCAAUUAUGAAGUGACCUUUGCUCCUGUGGCUAAGAUAACUACUGUUCGUAUGAUUCUGGCUAUUGCUGCUUCCAGUGAUUGAUCACUACAUCAAAUGGAUGUCAAGAAUGCUUUUCUUCACAGGGAUCUUAAAGAGUGUAUUUAUAUGAAGCCACCCUCGGGUUUGUUUCCCUCUCCGACUUCACAUGUGUGUAAGGUUCGUCGUUCUCUUUAUGAUCUCAAACAAGCUUUGAGGGCGUGGUUUGAUAAAUUCCGCACCACUUUAUUACAAUUUUCAUUCAAGCAGAGCAAGUAUGACACUUCAUUGUUUCUUCGAAAAUCACACAUGGGUAUUGUUGUUCUUUUUGGUUUAUGUUGAUGAUAUUGUGAUUACUAGAUCUGAUUCUGUUUUAUUUGCUCAGCUCAAGACUCAUCUCUCAGAGUCCUUUCAUAUGAAAAAUCUUGGGUCUCUCAUAUAUUUUCUUGGUCUUGAGGUGAAUCGUAGUCCCUCUGGUAUUUCACUCAAUCAACAUAAGUAUGCUAGUGACUUGGUGGCUACAACUGGCCUUCAGGAGGGUAGUUUUGUUGAUACUCUCAUGGAAUUAAAUGUCAAGCUUCGCAAACAGGAGGGUGACUUACUUGUUGAUCCCAGUUUAUACCGAAAGUUGGUGGGUAGUCUUGUCUGUCUCACCAUUACUAGACUGGACAUUUCUUUUGCUGUACAGCAAGUCAGUCAGUUUCUUUAGAGUCCUCGUCAUCUUCUUUUGGCUGCAGUUUGUAGGAUCAUACACUAUGUUCAGGGCACUUCUGCCCGUGGUUUAUUCUUCCCUGCAGGCAAUUCUACUCGCCUUGCUGCUUAUAUCGUUGCUGAUUGGGCUAGUUGUGCGGAUACACAUUGCUCCAUCAUUGGUUGAUGUGUGUUCUUAGGUGAUGCAUUGAUCUCUUGGAAGAGUAAGAAGCAAGACGGAGUUUCUAAGUCAUCGACAAAAUCUGAAUACCGGGCGAUGUGUCUUGCUUGUUUUGAAAUUAUUUGGCUUUGAGGUUUGCUUGCUGAGUUAGAUUUUUCUGAGACCGAUCCUACAACUCUACAUGCCGAUAAUACGAGUUCUAUCCAAAUCACAGCCAAUCCUAUCUAUCAUGAGCACACAAAGCAUAUUGAAGUCGAUUGUCACUCUAUCCUUGAAGCAUUUGAAGCUCGUGUUAUCACUCUUCCACAUACUUCCACUGAAUUACAAAUUGCUGAUAUCUUCACCAAGGCUCUCACUCAUCAUCGACAUUGCUUCCUAAGUAGCAAAUUGAUGCUUGUUGAUCAACCUGCAUCAAUUUGAGGGGGGCUGUCAACGGAACAGCAAACAGCAAAAGAUUUCUUUCCUUAUUUAAGCCCACAAUUAUUUCCUUAUUUCUCCAUUCAUUAUUUUGUACCGCUAGCAUAUAUUUAGUUUACAUGUAUAGGGCUAGAAUUAUGCUAGAACUUAUUUAGUUUCCAUAUAUAGCAUUCUUGUAAAGUUUAUAUAUAGUAUACAAAACUCAGGGCCAAACCAUUCGGCCAUUCACACAA